rnacentral:rRNA from 1 species
ACGUAGGGUGCGAGCGUUGUCCGGAAUUACUGGGCGUAAAGGGCGCGCAGGCGGCAGACCAAGUCAGAUGUGAAAUAGCUCGGCUUAACCGGGCGGGGUCAUUUGAAACUGGUCAGCUAGAGUACAGCAGAGGUUAGCGGAAUUCCCGGUGUAGUGGUGAAAUGCGUAGAUAUCGGGAGGAACACCAGAGGCGAAGGCGGCUAACUGGGCAUGUACUGACGCUGAGGCGCGAAGGCUAAGGGAGCAAACAGGA